UACGGGGGGGGCAAGCGUUGUUCGGAAUUACUGGGCGUAAAGGGCUCGUAGGCGGCCAACUAAGUCAGACGUGAAAUCCCUCAGCUUAACUGGGGAACUGCGUCUGAGACUGAUGAGCUUGAGUGCAGGAGAGGAACGCGGAAUUCCAGGUGUAGCGGUGAAAUGCGUAGAUAUCUGGAGGAACACCGGUGGCGAAGGCGGCGUUCUGGACUGCAACUGACACUGAGGAACGAAAGUCAGGGGAGCAAACGGG
rnacentral:rRNA from 1 species